AAGUUUUACAGACCACCGACUGCUGGAGACACUCGUUUCCCUCACGGUGGGUGCGUCUCAAUCAGCUCCCUAGUUCGCUAGUCAGGACGCUGAUCAAGGAGUCGGCCAAUUUUACUGCAACAAACUGACUGGAGGGGAAAUUACAAGUUGUGUACGUGACGUACUGAUUUAUCAGCUGAUUGCGACACAAUCCAUGUUUGCAGGGCAAAGUCACAGUACGAGUUAGCAACAGAUGCUUCGUUCCAACAAGAGGAUGAUUCAAGUGCACUUCAAGUAUCCGGAUGAUUCACUUACUAAACUGAAUAAAAUGUGGGACGUUGGACA